rnacentral:rRNA from 1 species
UACGUAGGGGGCAAGCGUUGUCCGGAUUUACUGGGCGUAAAGCGCCUGUAGGCGGCCUGUCAAGUCCGGCCUGAAAGCCCCCCGCUCAACGGGGGAGGGUGGCUGGAAACUGGCAGGCUUGAGGGCGAGAGAGGAGGGUGGAAUUCCUGGUGUAGCAGUGAAAUGCGUAGAGAUCAUGAGGAAGACCAGUGGCGAAGGCGGGUCUCUGGACAGUUCCUGACACUGAGACACGAAGGCCAGGGGAGCAAACGGG